AGGAGCCGUAUGAUGGGCAACUAUCACGUACGGUUCUAUCAGGGGGGGGGGAGUCGCGCAUCAUGGGUACCUUCUUAUUGCUGUGAAGGGCUAUAUGAAAAUAACCCCCUAUCCAAC
rnacentral:ncRNA from 1 species